rnacentral:lncRNA from 1 species
AAUAGAUUCAGGGUUUGUUUUGUUUCCUGGGAGAAAAACUACCUAGAAACUGGUCCUUUUUACUACCCAGUUCACAGUAUUUCCUGAGAUUAAUAAUGAUAUCUUGCAUUUGGGUGAUGCUUCAAAAUGUUUUCUUAAAGGUCUGUGUCAGAGAUUAGCUCACUUGACUCUCUAUUUUACAAUAAGGAAACUAAAGCUCAGAGAGGCAAAAGCUUGCCCAAUGUAUCACAUUCAGGAAAUGGGACCUCACAGAAGGGUACCCAGGCUUUCUAAUUUCGUAAGCCCUCUCAUCACACAGAGAAGACGGCAGAUCUACACCACUGAAAGGACAAAAGACAAAAGAAUGCUUGUGCCUCUGCCAGCCUAAUCCCUGGAAAUAAGACUUCUUUACUUCCGAGCGUUUUCCUGGGUCCUGCCUCGCAUCUGACCAGGGCAGGUGGCCUCCUCAUCACACUGCUGCCUCUGCUGUUGGCCCUGCUCAUGAAGCCACUAAACAUAUGGUCUCAGCUCUCUUGUCCUCCAAGAAAGACAACCACCACUGCUGCCUUUCUGAUCUCACGAUGUUUUGGGGAAAGAAGCCUCCUUGCCUCUCCAAAAAACCACAUAAAGCCAUCGGGACCAUUUUCCUAGGUGACUGUAGGAGAAAUAUCAAGAUAAAGUGAUGUGCAACCAGCAGGGGAGAAUCCAGGUGAAAGUGGUGAAGAACAUGGGAACCUCUCUCCCAGGUGAAAAGAAUUUCCUGGCCUGGGGAAAGAAGGAAGAGAAAGAGAUCUGUAGGUCCUGGGAGCAGAGAGGACCUCUAUGCUCCUUUCGGCAAUGCCCUGAAUAUGAUCAGUAAUAGUAACAACAAUGACAAUAGCAACAGCAAUGAUAAUGAGAGCAGCUGACUGCUACUGAACACUGACUAUGUACCAGGAAUUGUGCUAAAUGAAAAUCUGAAGCUUAGGAAAUGGAAGAACAUCUGCCGGAGGUCACACAGACAUGGCACGUUCAUGAUGUGAAUCCAAGUGAUGCUGAAGUCAGCCUUCUUAAACAUUCACAAUUCUGCCCCUCUUCAGUGAGGCCUCCAAGACCAGCUGCCUGGGGAACUCAGGCAGAGAAAGCUAUCUGCAGCCAGAUAUGGGUCCUUCUAGUUGCGGCAUGUGGGAUGCCACCUCAGCAUGGCUUGAUGAGUGGUACCAUGUCCGCGCCCAGGAUCCGAACCCGUGAAACCCCGGGCCACCGAAGCAGAGCGCGCGGACCCAACCACUCAGCCACGGGACCGGCCCCUACAAACCUUGAUUUUAGAGUCUCAGUUCCUUUAAAAUUUUGGACAUGAACCCACCUGAACAACAACUACCAAAACUCCUCCAACUGGCUUCCAUUGCUGAACAGAUACAUUCCGAUUUCUCUGACAAGUAAAUGUAAAGUGUACAAUGAACCUGACCAGUGCUUUGACAAACAUCGUUGAAGUGUAAUGAGAUCUCUUUACGCUUUCUUUCUUUUCUGUUGUUACUAGGGCUUUCUUGUAAAUAAAUAAACCGCAUUAGUCAGUGUUGAGAAGACAUUCUCUCGUUCAUUAACUGGGAAAGGUAAAUUGAACUUAGGUGCUUUAAUUUCAGAAAAUUGUUUUGCUAAAAUUUUCUUAAUUUAUGUAACCUUUAUCAUAGGACACUCAUUCGUAAUUUUUUACUGUAAUGGUAUAAAAAUGAAAAUACCUUUUGAGAUCAUUACCCUAGUCCAUAUCUGUUAUGGGCUCAAUUGUGCCCCCCAAAAUUCCUAUGCUGAAAUUCUAACCCCUAGUACCUCAGAAUGUGACUGUAUUUGGAGACUGGGUCUAUAAGACGUGUUAAGGUAAAAUGAGGCCGUGAAAGUGGGCCCUUAUCCAAAAAAACUGGUGUCCUUCGAAGAACAGAGGGUUAGGACAGAGACGCACACAGAAGGAAGACAGUGUGACAACACGGGGAGAAGACGGCCAUCUGCAAGUCAGAGAGAGGCCUCAGGGGACAUCAACCCUGUGGACGCCUUGAUCUCUGAUUUCUAGCCUCCAAAGUCGUGAGAAAAAUAAAUUUCUGUCGUUUCAAUCACCCAGCCUGUGGUACUUCGUUAUGGCAGCCCUAGCAAAUUAAUAUAAUGUCUUAAAUUUGGCAAUAAUACUGUCUGACAGAGUAAGAAUUUCCUGUGUGAGUCUUUCCUUCUGCAAAAAUUAUCUUUAAUUCUUUUUAAAAUAAAACCAAAAUGUGACUGGCAAACUUUCUGUGCAUAAGUAUAUUAAAUAUUUUUUUCUGUAUGGACGAGUAUUCUUUUUGUUUUACUUUUUUUUAUCGCAGUAACAGUGGAUUAUAACAUUGUAUAGCUUUCAGAUGUACAUCGUAAUAUAUUUUGAAUUCUGUGUAGAUUACAUCAUGUUCACCACCCGAAAACUAAUUAUGGUCUAUCACUUCACAUGUGAGCCUAAUCACUCCUUGUGCCCUCCCACUUCCCCCUUCCCCCUUCCCCUCUGGUAGCUACCUAUCCAGUCUCCAUUGCUAUGUGUUUGUUUGUCAUUGUUUUUAUCUUCUACUUAUCAGUGACAUCAUAUGGUAUUUGACUUUCUCUCUCUGACUUAUUUCCCUUAGCGUAAUACCCUCAAGGUCCAUCCAUGUUGUCGCAAAUGGCCAGAUUUCACCAUUUCUUGUGGCUGAGUAAUAUUCCAUUGUGUAUAUAUACCACAUCUUCUUUAUCCAUUUGUAUGGAUGAAUAUUCUGUAACUCAGACAUGAGACAAAUCAAAUCAACCUUUGCCCUCAAUUGUAAUGAAUUAAGGAGAUCUUAUUGAAUAGUCCAUCACACAGAUAAUUUUUACAAAACUGGUUCUAGGACAACAUCUUCCAUAUUCAAUCAACUCUUAAGUCUUGUUGUUUUUACUACCUUUCUUAUAAAACACUGCAUUUCAUUACCUUAUUUUUCCCUUCUAGUUGUCACCACCCUAGUGAAGACACCAAUGUCUUUUCUGGGCUCAUCUAAUAAUUUCCCAAAUGUCCUCACCUAUGGACCCUCUCUACCUCCAAAAUUCAUUACAUAGACACUAGUUAUAAUUAUGACAUGAAAUUCUUUUUGUGGCAAUAUUCUUCAAUAGUUUCCCAUUAUCUACAAAAUAAAAUCUAAACUCCCUUCACAGUACAAUAGCAUAUGCUUCAUGAUGUAGCCUCUGCAUACUUGUUCUGCUUUGUGUCGCUCCUCAACCUCAACCCUUGUUUUACUCACUAAUACUUAUUACCUAUAGCUCCUGGACUGUAUUGGGAUUUUCCUUUUUUUUUUUUUUUCUUAUGCCUAUAUGUCUUUGCACAUAUGUUGUUCUUACUGCCUGUAAUGUUUUCCAAUAUUCUCUGACCAACUUCUUAUCCUUCAAGUUUUAGCUCAAAUAACAUCUUAUGUCUCAGUGUUCAAAUGUGCCUUCUGUGUUCCCAUGACACACAGUUUAUAGCUCCUUGUCUAUCUCCACAGCAGAUCAAUCUAUUUCUGCAUUUGUCUACUCAGUCCUUAGUAUCAUGCCUUCAUGGUGAAGGGACUUAAUGACUGCUUAUUAAGUGAAUACAAGGAUGAAGUGGGUAUGGCCUCAAAAAAUUGCUCAAAAGUAUUCAAAAGGCCUUACACUCACCACAAAGUCUCUAUGAAAAUGACCUUAAAGGAGUAUCACUCCGACAGGGUCAAUUUCCUUCCUGGGAAUAAUGUAAUUGGGGUUGUAUUACAGAAGAAGGACAUAGUCCCAGGUAAAUCACAGUUUUGACCACAUGGACAAGGCAAAGAUAUGACAAUUAUAAACUGAUAUAAUUAAUAAACAUUAAGCGCUAAAUUUUAUAAGAUGGCUAUAAACGUUCUAGAUAUAGUUGUAUUUAAUGUAAUAUAAUGUAAAUAUAACUAUUGAAUAAUAAAUUUGACAUUAAUUAAUUUUUCUGAAUCUUCUAAAAUAGAUUUAAGGCUUCUUUGAAAACAGGUAUAACAGCAGUGUCAUUAAAAUAAAAAUUCUACAAUUACCUACUUGAAGUAAGUUUGAAAGCAAUAUCAAGCAUUAACAAAAUAUUUAAUGUUAAAUGUCAUUUUUACUUCUUUAAAAUAAUUUAUUUUGGAAUUAGUGUGGAGUGGGCCUAUAUCUCUUUGAAAAGUAUCUGAAUUCACACACACAGCUGGUGGGGACGUAAAUUAGAAAACAUGACGUUUAGCUUUAUGUAUUUAAAUUCUCCAAAUUCUCAUAGUGUUUGACCGAGUAUUUGUGAUUCUGGAAGCUGAUCUUAAGAAACAAAUCAGACAUUUAAAAAUAUUCAUGAGCAAAUAUAUUUAUUGCAGCACUAUCUGAAAUUCAGAAAAUCAAUAAAGGGUUGGUUAAGAA